UUACUAUCAAAUCCAAAUUCNNAUUCCUUUUAAAAAAAUUAUCCUUAAAUAANUUUAAUGUAAUCCACCUCUUCUUAAAUAUAAGCUACACCUUGAUCUGAUUUAUUUUUUAAUAAAAAAUUAUGAAUAUUUAAAUUCUAUUAAAAUAUUCAAUCUACGACGAUAUGUAAACUUAAAAUUAAAGUAUUUAUAAUCGUGGAUUAUCAAUUAUAGGGCAGAUUCCUCUGAAAAGACUAAAAUACCGCCAAAUUUUUUAAUUUUUAAGAAAAUAACUAUUACUAAUUUAGUAUAUAAAAAUUUANAUUUACAAUAAUAGGGUAUCUAAUCCUAGUUUA
rnacentral:rRNA from 1 species